rnacentral:lncRNA from 1 species
GUAGGAUGCAGAAGUGAGUAUUUACUUUAAAAAGGCCCAAGCAGGUGGGAAGGCCUGAAGCUUCCGCUUCGGAGGAAGCUGCAGGGAGAGUCCCGCCCCCUCUCAGCCUCACCCCGCGGGAGGAGCAAACCGGGUGAUGGCAGACAUUCUCCAGGGCAGCGCUGGGGCGGCGUCCGGAGAAUGCGAGGAUGAAAAGAUAGCGCUAGAAGCCGUGACCAGCAGCGUGGAGUCUGCGUGACUGUCCCAGCUGCAGACCUCUCGCUGUAGAUGCUCGGGCUCUGAGUUCGGAUCCCGACCCCUCCACCCGCAUAUGCUGGAGGACACAGAGAAGUCGCUUGUCCUCUCUGGCCUCUUUUCUUGUUCUGUCUGCAGGGGGACAGAGCCAGGAUGGGAGAGGCCCGGGGCCUGUCCCCUCCCGCCUCCCCAGCCCCGCUCCAGCCCCCCAGAAGGAGGAGGAGGGGCGGGAGGAGGGAGAGGAGCCGAGGGUCCGGCCCACAGGCCUGGCUGACGUCCCUGCUGGUGCUGUCUUCUCCGGGUGGGUGGGAGGAAGCGGAUUAAGAACUUGUUGGGGGAAGUUCGGCCAGGGUCUCGAGCGCCCCUCGGAGGGCCAAGGGCCUCACAUGGCCCCGAGCGCUUCAUUUCAGGGGUGUCGCGUGCUUAUCAACAGCCUGCUGCUCACUCAGCUACGCCCUCCGUACAGGCCCCGUGUUUCUCACGUCGUCGGUGUCCCCGGGACGUGGCGCUGUCCCUCCAUCUGCGGGGAAGCUCGCGCUGGGCGCGUGUCAGCCGGAGGAGCCCCAGCCCCUCGCACGUCCGCUCUCAUUUAAUCCCGACAAGAGGCCACGGUGACAAUCCUGUUUGACGUCCAUGUCCCCUGCUGCUGGCUUUCGAGUGACUCCAUGGAACCCCUAAAGCAAGGCCACGAUGGGCCGGGAGUUCUGCUGUCCCCAUUUUACAGAUGAGAAGACUGAGGUCGCGAGCACUGCCGCGUGGGUCCCCGAGGACCAGAGGCGG